rnacentral:misc_RNA from 1 species
CAGAGUUGCAAAACUCCCAUAACCCUUUGUGAACCUACCUUCUAGUUGCUUCGGCAGGCGGUCCUCUGGACCCCUCGGCCCUUUGCUGGGCGCCUGCCGGAGGUAUACCAAACUCUUGUUAUUUUAGAGGAAUUCUGAGUAUCAAAACAAAAAGUUA